rnacentral:rRNA from 1 species
AGUCACUGACAUUAGAUACCCGCGUAGUCCAGGGUGUAAACGCUGCAGACUUGGUGUUGGGAACCCUUCGGGGGUGCUCAGUGCCGGAGAGAAGUUGUUAAGUCUGCUACUUGGGAGGUACGUCCGCAAGGAUGAAACUUAAAGGAAUUGGCGGGGGAGCACCGCAACGGGAGGAGCGUGCGGUUUAAUUGGAUUCAACGCCGAAAAACUCACCAGCAGCGACUGUUACAUGAAAGUCAGGUUGAUGACCUUACUAGAUUUUCAG